AGCGAACGCUGGCGGCAGGCCUAACACAUGCAAGUCGAACGAACUCUUCGGGGUUAGUGGCGGACGGGUGAGUAACACGUGGGAACGUGCCUUUUGGUUCGGAAUAACUCAGGGAAACUUGUGCUAAUACCGAAUGUGCCCUUCGGGGGAAAGAUUUAUCGCCAUUAGAGCGGCCCGCGUCUGAUUAGCUAGUUGGUGAGGUAACGGCUCACCAAGGCGACGAUCAGUAGCUGGUCUGAGAGGAUGACCAGCCACACUGGGACUGAGACACGGCCCAGACUCCUACGGGAGGCAGCAGUGGGGAAUCUUGCGCAAUGGGCGAAAGCCUGACGCAGCCAUGCCGCGUGAAUGAUGAAGGCCUUAGGAUUGUAAAAUUCUUUCACCGGGGACGAUAAUGACGGUACCCGGAGAAGAAGCCCCGGCUAACUUCGUG
rnacentral:rRNA from 1 species